rnacentral:rRNA from 1 species
UACGUAGGGGGCGAGCGUUGUCCGGAUUUAUUGGGCGUAAAGAGCGUGUAGGCGGCCAGGUAGGUCCGUUGUGAAAACUCGAGGCUCAACCUCGAGACGUCGGCGGAAACCCUCUGGCUAGAGUCCGGAAGAGGAGAGUGGAAUUCCUGGUGUAGCGGUGAAAUGCGCAGAUAUCAGGAAGAACACCCGUGGCGAAGGCGGCUCUCUGGGACGGUACUGACGCUGAGACGCGAAAGCGUGGGGAGCGAACAGG